AUGGGAUGCCGGCGCUGCAGUCAGAGGAUUAACCAAGUGAGCCACAGCGCUGGCCCCCAACUUUCACCUUUAACAACAUGGCUUAUUCUCCGCCAUACGCAACGGGGUGUGUCUCAGUCCUUCAAACACACAGACACGACACGCCCAAUUCAUCUGGGCAGCAAAACAUCGCUUACUAUCUCGGCCUUCUUGCGAGUGGCUGCUUUUCCGGAAGCCCUCCUGGCUGCUGAAUUAUCCCUGAAUGUUGACAGCGUGGAGAAAGGGAAGGUUGUCUUGACAACAGUUCAGAAAAACUCAACUCAAAGAACUUAUUUAACCUAAAAUUGCAGUCUUUGCAAUGGAAUAUGGAUAAAAAUUCUUCUGGUGAUUUAGGUCUCAAGAUCUCGGUAAAUAUUUUUUUUACACACAUGAUGUUUUAAAAAUAUACUCAGAUGUUGCAAAAACCAGCAAAGUACAAAGGGAACAUGGCAAAAGGUCCCUUCCCACUUCUGGCCUUCAGGAACUACGUUCAGUCCUUGCUGGCACCCAUGGUCCUCAGAGAGAUAAAUUCACACAGAGCACAACAUCCUUUUCAAUUGUGGCCUUUUUUUGUUUUUUAUCUUCGACAGGCAGAGUUAGAUAGUGAGAGAGAAAGAGACAGAGAGAAAGGUCUUCCUUUUCCUGUUGGUUCACCCACCAAGUGGCCGCUAUGGCCGGCGCGUUGCGGCUGGUGUAAGUCGAUCUGAAGCCAGAAGCCAGGUGCUUCCUCCUGGUCUCCCAUGCGGGUACAGGGCCCAAGCACUUGGGCCAUCUUCCACUGCCCUCCCGGGCCACAGCAGAGAGCUGGACUGGAAGAGGAGUAACCGGGACAGAAUCUGGCACCCCAGCCAGGACUAGAACCCGGUGUGCUGGCGCCGCAGGUAGAGGAUUAGCCUAGUGAGCCGUGGCGCCAGCUCUCUUUUUGUUUUUAAACCUAUAUGGCAGUACAGUGUUCUGAAUGUGUCUUCUAAAUAAUAAUAUUUCUUGGAAAUUCUUGGGUAUCAGUACAAAGAGAAAUCCCCCAUUCAUUUUAAGGUCC
rnacentral:lncRNA from 1 species